GAUGAACGCUGGCGGCGUGCCUAAUACAUGCAAGUAGAACGCUGAAGGAGGAGCUUGCUCUUCUGGAUGAGUUGCGAACGGGUGAGUAACGCGUAGGUAACCUGCCUGGUAGCGGGGGAUAACUAUUGGAAACGAUAGCUAAUACCGCAUGACAACAGUUAUUGCAUGAUAACUGUUUAAAAGGGGCAACUGCUCCACUAGAAGGACGUGCUUCGUUGUAUUAGCUAGUUGGUGAGGUAACGGCUCACCAAGGCGACGAUACAUAGCCGACCUGAGAGGGUGAUCGGCCACACUGGGACUGAGACACGGCCCAGACUCCUACGGGAGGCAGCAGUAGGGAAUCUUCGGCAAUGGACGGAAGUCUGACCGAGCAACGCCGCGUGAGUGAAGAAGGUUUUCGGAUCGUAAAGCUCUGUUGUAAGAGAAGAACGAGUGUGAGAGUGGAAAGUUCACACUGUGACGGUAUCUUACCAGAAAGGGACGGCUAACUACGUG
rnacentral:rRNA from 1 species